rnacentral:tRNA from 1 species
GGCCUGGUAGUCCAGCCUGGAUAGGGCGCUGGCUUGCGGAGUUAGUAAAGAGGGGAUAAAUCCCCCCCAGGCCA